rnacentral:rRNA from 1 species
AGAACGAACGCUGGCGGCAGGCCUCAAACAUGCAAGUCUAGGGGGGCGUAGCAAUACGUCACCGGCGGACGGGUGCGUAACACGUGGGAAUGUACUUAUUGGUUCGGAACAACUCAGGGAAACUUGAGCUAAUACCGAAUGUGCCCGAAAGGGGAAAGAUUUAUCGCCAAUAAAUCAGCCCGCGUCCGAUUAGCUAGUUGGUGAGGUAAAGGCUCACCAAGGCGACGAUCGGUAGCUGUUCUGAGAGGAAGAUCAGCCACACUGGGACUGAGACACGGCCCAGACUCCUACGGGAGGCAGCAGUUGGGAAUCUUGGACAAUGGGGGAAACCCUGAUCCAGCCAUGCCGCGUGAGUGAUGAAGGCCUUCGGGUUGUAAACUCUUUCGACGGGGACGAUAAUGACGGUACCCGUAGAAGAAGCUCCGGCUAACUUCGCGCCAGCAGCCGC